rnacentral:rRNA from 1 species
AUUGAACGCUGGCGGCAGGCCUAACACAUGCAAGUCGAGCGGAUGAAGGGAGCUUGCUCCUGGAUUCAGCGGCGGACGGGUGAGUAAUGCCUAGGAAUCUGCCUGGUAGUGGGGGAUAACGUCCGGAAACGGGCGCUAAUACCGCAUACGUCCUGAGGGAGAAAGUGGGGGAUCUUCGGACCUCACGCUAUCAGAUGAGCCUAGGUCGGAUUAGCUAGUUGGUGGGGUAAAGGCCUACCAAGGCGACGAUCCGUAACUGGUCUGAGAGGAUGAUCAGUCACACUGGAACUGAGACACGGUCCAGACUCCUACGGGAGGCAGCAGUGGGGAAUAUUGGACAAUGGGCGAAAGCCUGAUCCAGCCAUGCCGCGUGUGUGAAGAAGGUCUUCGGAUUGUAAAGCACUUUAAGUUGGGAGGAAGGGCAGUAAGUUAAUACCUUGCUGUUUUGACGUUACCAACAGAAUAAGCACCG